UUCCAUAUUGCAAUAAAUCCUGAAAAUGCCAGAUUUACAGCUUCACAAACUGAUCUCGAGUCACAAGCUGUUGCAGAUGAAGAGGUAGUAUCCAAACCAAAGAAAAAAAGCAGAAGACCAGUGUUGAAUCAUGCCAAUGUUCUGCAGAACUGCUUGAAAUUCAAAAGAAACUUCUUGAAGAGGCUGUGAGAAGUAAUGCAUUGAAUCAGGAGAGAAACCUCUUCCUUGAAAAAAUUAGUUCCAGUCUUUCAGUUAUUGCUACAAAGCAGUAUUCGGAUAAUUUGAUGUUUGAAUUGAAAGCUUAUAAUGAUUUUUUUGCACGUGUUCUCAAGUAUGUGACAUAAUGUCACACAGUGUGACAUAAUGUCACAUUCUAGAGAACACAUGCACAAAAUGCCUUAUUAAGCCUAUAUAUAUGUU